rnacentral:rRNA from 1 species
AUUGAACGCUGGCGGCAGGCCUAACACAUGCAAGUCGAGCGGAUGAAGGGAGCUUGCUCCUGGAUUCAGCGGCGGACGGGUGAGUAAUGCCUAGGAAUCUGCCUGGUAGUGGGGGAUAACGUCCAGAAACGGGCGCUAAUACCGCAUACGUCCUGAGGGAGAAAGGGGGGGAUCUUCGGACCUCACGCUAUCAGAUGAGCCUAGGUCGGAUUAGCUAGUUGGUGGGGUAAAGGCCUACCAAGGCGACGAUCCGUAACUGGUCUGAGAGGAUAAUCAGUCACACUGGAACUGAGACACGGUCCAGACUCCUACGGGAGGCAGCAGUGGGGAAUAUUGGACAAUGGGCGAAAGCCUGAUCCAGCCAUGCCGCGUGUGUGAAGAAGGUCUUCGGAUUGUAAAGCACUUUAAGUUGGGAGGAAGGGCAGUAAGUUAAUACCUUGCUGUUUUGACGUUACCAACAGAAUAAGCACCGGCUAACUUCGUG